rnacentral:rRNA from 1 species
CCUACGGGAGGCAGCAGUAGGGAAUCUUCCGCAAUGGACGAAAGUCUGACGGAGCAACGCCGCGUGAACGAUGAAGGCCUUCGGGUCGUAAAGUUCUGUUGUUAGGGAAGAACAAGUGCUAGUUAAAUAAGCUGGCACCUUGACGGUACCUAACCAGAAAGCCACGGCUAACUACGUGCCAGCAGCCGCGGUAAUACGUAGGUGGCAAGCGUUGUCCGGAAUUAUUGGGCGUAAAGCGCGCGCAGGCGGUUUCUUAAGUCUGAUGUGAAAGCCCCCGGCUCAACCGGGGAGGGUCAUUGGAAACUGGGAAACUUGAGUGCAGAAGAGGAAAGUGGAAUUCCAAGUGUAGCGGUGAAAUGCGUAGAGAUUUGGAGGAACACCAGUGGCGAAGGCGACUUUCUGGUCUGUAACUGACGCUGAGGCGCGAAAGCGUGGGGAGCAAACAGGAUUAGAUACCCUGGUAGUCCACGCUGUAAACGAUGAGUGCUAAGUGUUAGAGGGUUUCCGCCCUUUAGUGCUGAAGUUAACGCAUUAAGCACUCCGCCUGGGGAGUACGGUCGCAAGACUGAAACCUUANAAGUAGUAAGUUCGGACGNGUAGAGACGUCGACCGAGGACCACGACGGAGGGUAGAGG